rnacentral:rRNA from 1 species
CACAGUGUAGCAAUACAUGGGUGGCGACCGGCAAACGGGUGCGGAACACGUACGCAACCUUCCUUCAGGCGGGGAAUAGCCCAGAGAAAUUUGGAUUAAUACCCCAUAAUAUUUUGAGAUGGCAUCAUCUUAUUAUUAAAGCUACGGCACCUGGAGAUGGGCGUGCGGCUGAUUAGGUAGUUGGCGGGGUAAUGGCCCACCAAGCCUACGAUCAGUAGCUGAUGUGAGAGCAUGAUCAGCCACACGGGCACUGAGACACGGGCCCGACUCCUACGGGAGGCAGCAGUAAGGAAUAUUGGUCAAUGGACGCAAGUCUGAACCAGCCAUGCCGCGUGGAGGAUGAAGGUCCUCUGGAUUGUAAACUUCUUUUAUCUGGGACGAAAAAAGGGUUUUCUAACUCGUCUGACGGUACCAGAUGAAUAAGCACCGGCUAACUCCGUGCCAGCAGCCGCGGUAAUACGGAGGGUGCAAGCGUUAUCCGGAUUCACUGGGUUUAAAGGGUGCGUAGGCGGGCAUUUAAGUCAGUGGUGAAAUACCUGAGCUUAACUUGGGAACUGCCAUUGAUACUAUUUGUCUUGAAUGUCGUGGAGGUUAGCGGAAUAUGUCAUGUAGCGGUGAAAUGCUUAGAUAUGACAUAGAACACCUAUUGCGAAGGCAGCUAACUACGCGAAUAUUGACGCUGAGGCACGAAAGCGUGGGGAUCAAACAGGAUUAGGAUACCCUAGUAGUCCACGCCCUAAACGAUGAUUACUCGACAUUAGCGAUACACUGUUAGUGUCUGAGCG